AUUUUCUAGAAGAUGACGGUUUUU
rnacentral:snRNA from 1 species